rnacentral:antisense_RNA from 1 species
GAAACAAACUGCUGUCUGGAAAGCUUUUUGGAUGCCAAACAAACUGAGAUGGUUGUGCUCUGGGGAACAUAAAGCAGUCUGAAGUAAACAGUCACACACAGACGCAACAACUACAGUAUUUUCAGGAUGCAAAGCCAUACAGGCUCUGUCACUUCCCUUCUACUGGGGGGCAAGAAAGCCUCCCUUUGAGCUGUGGUGACAGGGUUACAUAGGAGGGUUUGGUUGCUCUUCAGUUCAGAAGCCAUCACUGCCAGCACCUGCAACUUGCUGCUCUGCACUUUCUGCUCUGACCGCUGGUGAGAGAAGUCACUCUUUCCUUCUCUUGCUCUUAAGAUCCCUCUAGUCCUGCAGGGUAACACCUGCUUGGCUGCCACAGAGGUGUCUGGGUCUCCCGGUGCUUUAUGGAUACUCACCACUCAUGCAGGGUCUUCAGGGAGAAGAUGAAGAAAUC